rnacentral:lncRNA from 1 species
CUCGUUCGUGGAUACUGUUCUAAUAAGGUCUUAUACUUUAGCAACAUAGUAUUACAAGCAUUUGGAUUUUCAAUCACUAAAUAUAAGGGAAUUGUUCCAAUUUAAUUCAAUUCCAUUCAUAAAACGGAAAGUUUACUCUUCUUGAAUGCUAGAAAAAUACAGGAUAAAUGCAAAGAUCAAGCUAGAAGAUUUGUAAUUCUUUUGCUAACGUAUUGGCGAUUCAUCGUGCUUUUAAUUAUCAAAGAAAGAUGAAAAGAACAUGAAUAUUUUCCUAUAAUCUAUUCCCACAAGUUCUAAAAAAAAGUAUUGCUGCUAGUUCGAUAUUCAUUGGUAAUACUGUUCUUCAACUUGACUUGACCACUACAUGUAAUCUACAUAUUACACUAUUUUUAAGAACUAACCACAAAAAUAAUUUGGAUCUAAUUUUUGACGUCUUUCUAUGUCCAAGGAAGCUGCGUUAGGAAUUUUUUUUGCGUGUGUUUAUACCCGCAACCCAACCCAACCUGUAUCAACUUUGAAAAAAAUUAGUUGAACGAACCCCCACCUCGCAUAGUGCUAAAACCCGCCCAGCCCAGCCCCAUGGGCAUCCCUAAACUCAUUAAACCAAGUGUACUAUCCUUCAUCAGAGAGCCUCCCUUUUGGAGGGACAAAAAGAAGUCUUCCUUCACCACAUUGGUUACGAGCAGAAAACCUACACACCACAAAAUCCAAUAAAAACUCUACACAACCAUGCAGCAAUGGCUCAAACGGUUCUUUCUUUCUUUCUUUUCCGCAGUUGAAUGCAACAUGGCAGUGGAACUCCCAAACAUGCACGUUUUCAAGAUCACAUGCAUAUGUUUUCAACAACUCUAAAAACAUAAAUACCAACAGGAUUCAUGAUCACAAUAUUUGCCACAAAGCUCUCCUGAAAACCCAAUUACGCAAUUAAUAAGAUUUGUUAAGGCAAUUAGCCAUACAGGGGAUAAGAAGCUAGUGUUUUUAAUGAAAUGUCCCACCAUCCAGAGGUAUGUACGUCAAGGGAAAAAGAAAAGAGUCUCAGAAGUAAGGGCUGUAACGCAUCGGCGCCCUAGCCCUUGGAACCUUUCUGCAGCAUAAAUAAAUGAAGCCAUGUCACAAAUUUAAUCAAAUACAGAAAGGGUAGCAAACACAACUUUGUUUAUAAGUAAUGAUAUAAAACAAAUAACGUUACCCGUAUCCAUAAGGAGGGAAAAAAUAAGGAGCAGGCAUGAAUGGUGUCCGACCUCGAAAUCCCAUAUACGGGUUGGGCCGCCUAGCACGGUACGGCUUCAUACCAGGAACAUUAGUCCUCUUUGCUGAUACCUACACAACAUUUGCAAUCACAGAUGGCAAAGGGUAUGAAGACAGGCAUGAAAGGUUUUAUAUUCAAAUAUAACGACCUUAUAAGCAAACUGGAUUUAGGGACUAACUGGUUGACCUUAAGUUGGCGGCCAUGAAGUUCAGAUUCAUUCAGAAGAAGAGCUUCAUGGACAGCUUCUGGUUCAAGAAACUCAACGUAAGCAUAUCCUUUAGGUUGCCCAAACUUGUUAGUUCGGAUUGUAACUCUAUUUACUGUCCCACAUGCCUGAAAAUGUUGCUGCACUUCCUCUGGAGUGCAAGAAUAAUCCACCUAUAAAACAAGUUUAGCCCCUCAAACAGUUUGCCCCAAAUAACCACGCACGAGAUAAUCUCAGACUGGAUCAAAGGUCGACACAGCAGUGAAAAAUCCAAACAGAAUAUCAUAAUAUAAGCUCUAACUCCUAACUAGUAUAAGUGAAGGCAAUUUAAAAUUAAUCUAGUGCUGAUUCAGAUUUAGAAAAAAAGCAUAAAUUGAAACACGCAGCUAUGGGAAAUGGGAUCAAGAGAGCGAGAGCAAAAUUGAAAAAAUAACUAGUCAUUCAAAAAUGACCUACACCUUUUUCACCGAUCUAAUAGGAAGAAAAAGAAUUAAGCAUUCCACUAGUUGCAAUUAGUACACAAGGUACUUAGUUGUCGUUAUAUAUUGGAAACACCUAAUAAUCCACAACUUUUCCAUUUAAAAGUAAAAGAAACUACUUUUUACCUACAUCCUUACACAGUUUAUAUUGGAUCAUUUUUCCACUAUGUAUGAUACUUGUAAAUGUAGUAUGCCAUAUUCAUCUGGUUUAUUGUAAUUGAAGUUGACACACAAAAUGUUAACAAAUUUUUUUUUCUUUCUUAUGCAUUUUGUACAACAGAAGGCCAAAUACACAUGCUAUACAAACAUUUCUUUUUCUCCUUUACCUAAAAAAGUUUCUUUUCCUCUUUUUUUCUAAAUUAAGUUGUGAGUUGUUUAUAAUGUAAGUCAAAACAAUCCAAUCCUGAUCAACUGAAAAGAGUUAACACUGUAAUUAACAAAUCUAAAAACUAAAAGAUGAUUUUGUAAAAGAAAGUGGAAGUGUGAGACCAUCUCGCCUAAAAGCUUUAAGAUGAGAUGGUCCCCACACUUCAAAACAUGGUGUCAGAGCAGGUGGAAGUCAGGCGGAAAUCGUGGGUUUGACUCUGACUGCACCUAUUAUCAAAAGGAUUACCACGUAUUUAUUUAACCCAUGAAAAGAAUCAAGUUCACAUGUGAAGAGGCGUGUAGAAGACAUAAUUAAGUAAAUAAAAAUGCUCUUCCUAACAAUUCAAACUUUUGAUCAAAUGGUCAUACAUUUCACGUUCUUCUUGUUUCAUCUUUUUUUCAGACCAUCCUUUUCAAUAAGAACAUAACUAAUCCAACCGCAAUAGUUGACUACAACCUUUAUAAACUGAACCAGAAAACACCUAUAGGCUAUACCAAUAUGACUUUGCCACACAUCCACCAAUUUCUUUCCUUAUAACCUUAAGAUGUCGGUUUAUCGAAUUCCUAGACUCCAAAUUAGUUUUAUUUUUGUCAAAGUAGUUUGUGAUACCAAUAGAAACUUAGUUCAUGUCACCCAAGGGUGUGUGGCCAAGUGGCCAGGCCAAUGAAAUGGUUAAGAACUGUUUGAAUAGGAGUAAGAAUUGGAAUAUUGCAUAGAAUCCUGCUUGAAAGAGGAUUGUAAUGUUACUGUACUAGUUGGUAAAGGAAUCCAUAAAUAGGGUCUCAAUGUAAUAAUUCAAACAAGACAAUUCAAUACAUUUUUCUCCUAUAUUUCUCACAUUGUAUCAGAGUGAGUUUGGUGACAUACUGGGAAGAAAAAAUCAGUCACAGUGCGUCACUUUCCAGCGACUGUGAAGGCCAAUUUGCGCCCUCAUUUGUUUUGUAAGUGUUGUGCGAAAACCAACACUACCACGAGGUGCAAAACACUAAGGCGAGCAAACCCCAGUGAGCCACUCUCCAUUCUGGUGAGCCACGUGCCGGCAGUAGUCUCAAAUUUGUGUCACCAUGCGCAUAACGCGCCGGCGCUUCCAGCUAUUUCUGGCCACUUUUCGUUGAGAUUCUUUUUCUAGUAAGGUCGCCUCUUUAUUCCGAGGUUGUCCAUAUAGUUAUUUCUUAAUUCCAACCAGUUUUCAGCAAUCAAAUCUUAUUUUGCGAUGACUGACCCCUUUUAUUUCAGAUUCCGGCAAUAUAUUUCCAAAAUCUUUGCUCCGUUUAGUCCUACAAUUAAAUAUGAACCCUUAAUGAGAAAAUCAGAAAAUCAAACAUCCCAGUCCAUGAAGAAUCGACAAGGGGAGGUUGUUUUGGAAGAUCUCAACCUAGAUGUAGUUAUUGUAAAAGGCUUGAACAUACUCGUGACGUAUGCUAUUUUCGACCUAAAUGUAGUUAUUGUAAUAGGCUUGGACAUACUAGUGGAAUAUGUUAUUCUUUGCAUAAUUGACCACCUAAAAAUGUUCAUGUUGUACAAUCUAACACCACAGGUAAUCAACGGGUAUAUUUAACUGAAAAAGAAUAUAAUGAGUAUCUUCAGUAUCAAGCAAGAAAGCAAAUAUCUCUAACAGUAGCCUCAAUUGCACAAUCUUCUAUCAUUGGAUCAUGGAUUGUGGACUCUGGCGCUUCUGCUCAUAUUCCUACGGAUAAAUCACUUCUAUCAAAUAUUAUUUAUUCACAAUCUCUUUCAAUUAUCACUUUAGCAAACCAACGCAAAAGGUGUUGGAGAAGCUACUCCUCUAUCCUCUGUCACUUUAAAUUAUGCUCUUUAUGUCCCUGAUUGUCUUUUUAAUCUUGCAUCGGUCAGUCGUUUGACUCCUGCCCUAAAUUGUGGCAUACUAUUUCUUGAGGACUCAUUUAUCAUGCAUGACCGUAGUACGGAACAAACAAUUGGUAUAGGAUAUGAACCACAAUACCUUUACUACCUUAUCUCUCCUUUACUCCUCCAUAGCAUGUCCAAUUACAGAUUCUUUGAUACAAGUCGGAUUACUCCAAAGAUUCUCACCCAAGGUAAUUGACAACACUUUAGAGACAAAGGAGUUUUGCGAUCCAGCAUGAUGAGAAUGAUGAGAAUUGGGGAUGGUGGAGUAUUGCCCUUUUAGGCAUUUGGCAUUUAGGGUCACUUUGCGCCCAUUUUGCAUUAGGCUCACUUUUGAGCAUAUUUUGUAAUAAAUAGCCCAUGACUAUAAAUAGCUAGGAUUUUCUUUUUUCUUAGAUGAUUUUUGAUGAAUGAUACACUCGCAAGCGUUUUUGAGCUUGUUGGGAGCUUUGUUGAACUUUGUGAAACGUUGGCCGUGAGUGAAUUAAUCUCACCCAGUGUUUGUCAUAGGUAUAAUGUUUGAGGGUCAUUGGUUUAAUAUACCUUUGGUUUGCUUAUAUUUCUUCUCCUAGUGUCUAUCUAUUUAUCCUUUCCUAUAUUAUCUUUCAAGUUCCGUACUUUGAGUUUGUUUCUGUAUUUUGUAUCUGUAAAGAAUGGAUCUUGGGUUUAACUCAACCUCAAAAGCUAGCUCAUGAGGGGAGGAUUGCCUAAGUCCAUAUAAGCAGACAAAUUACUCAUUUCUUUUCCGACAUGGGAUACUUAACACUCCCCCGCACGUCCGGACCUCGUUAAUUGGAGCGUGGACAGUAUAAUAUGGGGCCCAACAUCGGUGAACAAUGAUUUGGGAUGGACCUGGCUCGGAUACCAUGAUAAAGAAUGGAUCUUGGGUCUAACUUAACCUCAAAAGCUAGCUCAUGAGGGAAGGAUUGUCCAAGUUCAUAUAAGGAGACCAAUUACUCAUCCCUUUUCCGAUGUAGGAUACUUAACAUGUGAGAAAUAGUGAAGAAAAAUACUAUUGAAUUAUGUAUCUAAAUUAUUACAUUGAGAUCCUAUUUAUAGACACUACAUUAUUAUACUUUUCUAAGUAGGAUUUUUUAUACUAUUCCUACUCCUACUCAUGUUCUAACACUUUCCCUCUUAAGUUGGUUCAUACAAGUUAUAUGUACCUAGCUUGUUACAAAUGUAAUUAAUACGAGAACUAGUGAGUGACUUGGUGAAGAUGUCUGCAAGUUGAUCACUUGACAUCACAAAUUUUGUAACAAUAUCUCCGUAGAGUAUCUUUUCACUAACAAAGUGACAAUCGAUCUCUAUAUAUGCUUAGUUCUCUCAUGGAACACUGGAUUAGAUGCAAUAUGAAGGGCUGCUUGAUUACAACAUAAGUUCCAUCUCACUGGUUUCUCCAAAUUUUAGUUCUCUUAGCAACUGUUUAAUCCAAACUAGCUAACAAGUUGUUGCAGCCAUUGCUCGAUAUUCUGCUUCCGCACUAGAUCGAGCAACCACACUCUGUUUCACACUCUUCCAGGACACCAAAUUACCUCCUACUAAAACACAAUAUCCGGACGUAGAACAUCUAUCAGAGGGUGGUCCUGCCCAAUCAACAUUUGUAUAUCCAAUGAUAUGCCCAUGGCCUCGAUCCUCGAAGAGUAGUUCUUUACCUGGAGAUGACUUUAUAUAUUGAAAAACACGAACUGUGUCCCAAUGAAUAUCACAUGGGGAAGUCGUAAAUUGAUUUACAAAUCUCACAAGAAAAGAGAUGUCAGGACUAGUCACUGUGAGAUAAGUCAACUUUCUAACCAACCGUUUAUACCUUCCAAGAUCACUGAGUGGCUCCCUCUGCCCUGUUAAAAGUUUAGCAUUUGGAUCCAUAGAAGUGUCAAUGAGUCUACUAUCCCAUCAUUCCUGUCUCCUCAAGAAUGUUUAAGGCAUACUUACGAUGAGAAAUAACUAUGAUGUGGACUGAGCAACCUCAAUACCUAGAAAGUAGUAUUUCGGUUUGUUGAGGUCUUUGGUCUGGAAAUGUUGAAAGAGAUUUUGCUUCAAAUUAGUGAUACCAUCUAAAUCAUUGUCGGUGAUACGAUAUCGUCAACAUAAAUGACUAAAUAAAUACACAAAUUUGGUUUAGAAUGGCGAUAAAAUACUGAAUGAUCAGCUUCACUACGAAUCAUGCCAAACUCCUGAAUUACUGUGCUAAACUUCCCGAACCAGGCUCGAGGGGACUAUUUCAAACCAUAGAGUGACCUGCGCAAUCGACAUACAAGGCUACUAGACUCUUCCUGAGCAACAAAACCAAGGGGUUUCUCCAUAGACCUCCUCCUCAAGCUCACCAUGCAGAAAAACAUUCUUAAUGUCCAACUGAUAAAGGGGCCAAUGACGAACGACAGUCAUAAAUAGAAAAAGACGGACAAGUGUUAUUUUAGCCACGAGAGAGAAAAUAUCAUUAUAAUCAAGCCCAAAUAUUUGUGUAGAUCCUUUGGCAACAAGGCGAGCUUUAAGUCGAUCAACCUGACCAUCUAGACCAACUUUGACUACAUAAAUCCAACGACAACGAGCAGUAAAUCAGGGAAAAAACUCCCAAGUACCACUCGUAUGUAAAGCAGACAUCUUAUUAAUCAUAGCAUGUUUCCAACCUGAAUAGGAAAGUGUUUCACCUGUAGUCUUAGGGAUGGAAAUAGAGGACAAAGAUGAUACACAAGCAUAAUGAGGUGAUGAUAAACGAUGAUAACUCAAAAUAGUAUAAUGUGGGUUAGCAUUACGAGUGGAUCUUAUACCUUUUUGAAGUGCAACUAAUUGGCUAAGAGGAGGCAAGCCCGCAGUAGAGAAAGCUUCAGGCACACGACAUGAAUCAUCUAGAACUAAUGAUGGAUGUGGGCGGCGAUGAUAAGUCAAAAGUGGUGGCAUUGCAGCUGGAGAUGUAGAAGUAACGGUAGAUUCCUCAAAGGUUGGUGUAGGUAGACUGGAGGUAUGGCUAAGACUUCAGAGAUAUCAAGAUAAUCCGAAGAUGUUAUAGUAAGGUUUAGAUUCAAAGAAUGUCACAUCGGCGGACAUAAGGUAGCGACCCAGAUCAGGUGAAUAGCAUCAAUAUCCUUUUUGAACUCGAAAGUAACCAAGGAAAACACAUUUGAGAGUAAGAAGGGCUGAUUUAUCUUUUUCUGGGACUAAUCUGGGACUAAGUUUUGAACAAAACACGUGCUCCCAAAAACACGAGCGGGGAUAGAGUAGAGAUGUGACUGAGGAAAUAGUAUGGAUAGGGAACCUGAUUCUAAAUUGACGAUAGUGGCAUUCUAUUAAUGAGAUAGCAAGAUACGAGGACUGCAUCGCCUAAAAAACGGUAUGGAACACGGGAUUCAAUGAGAAGAGUGCGAACAAUUUCAAUGAGAUGCCUAUUUUUCCUUUCUGCUAUAUAUCAUUUUACUGAGGGUGUAUGGAAAUGAUGUCUGGUAAGCAGGCAUGAUGACCUUCACCUGCUUCCUUCACUCUUUUUUUAUUAAAUAUUAUUAAUAUUUUAAUAAUUAAAAAAUAUAUAAUAAUUAAUUAGGAGUGAUAUAAUAAAAUCACAUGACGACCUUCACCUGCUUCCUUCUCACUUCUAUAUAUUAGAAUGUUGUUUUCAGUUGUUUUCAGUCCGCCUGCCCGGCGUAAGUAGUUUUCAGUCCCCCUGCCCGGCGUAAGCCGCCCGACAUAUAGCCACCCCGUAUAAUUCGCUACUUUUAUUAAUAAAUUUAAUAUAGAAACCAUUUUAAAAAUAUCAUACUAUGUUAUCACUAUUUUUAAUACAGUCGAUUGCUCGUUCGUGGAUACUGUUCUAAUAAGGUCUUAUACUUUAGCAACAUAGUAUUACAAGCAUUUGGAUUUUCAAUCACUAAAUAUAAGGGAAUUGUUCCAAUUUAAUUCAAUUCCAUUCAUAAAACGGAAAGUUUACUCUUCUUGAAUGCUAGAAAAAUACAGGAUAAAUGCAAAGAUCAAGCUAGAAGAUUUGUAAUUCUUUUGCUAACGUAUUGGCGAUUCAUCGUGCUUUUAAUUAUCAAAGAAAGAUGAAAAGAACAUGAAUAUUUUCCUAUAAUCUAUUCCCACAAGUUCUAAAAAAAAGUAUUGCUGCUAGUUCGAUAUUCAUUGGUAAUACUGUUCUUCAACUUGACUUGACCACUACAUGUAAUCUACAUAUUACACUAUUUUUAAGAACUAACCACAAAAAUAAUUUGGAUCUAAUUUUUGACGUCUUUCUAUGUCCAAGGAAGCUGCGUUAGGAAUUUUUUUUGCGUGUGUUUAUACCCGCAACCCAACCCAACCUGUAUCAACUUUGAAAAAAAUUAGUUGAACGAACCCCCACCUCGCAUAGUGCUAAAACCCGCCCAGCCCAGCCCCAUGGGCAUCCCUAAACUCAUUAAACCAAGUGUACUAUCCUUCAUCAGAGAGCCUCCCUUUUGGAGGGACAAAAAGAAGUCUUCCUUCACCACAAAAAGAAGUCUUCCUUCACCACAUUGGUUACGAGCAGAAAACCUACACACCACAAAAUCCAAUAAAAACUCUACACAACCAUGCAGCAAUGGCUCAAACGGUUCUUUCUUUCUUUCUUUUCCGCAGUUGAAUGCAACAUGGCAGUGGAACUCCCAAACAUGCACGUUUUCAAGAUCACAUGCAUAUGUUUUCAACAACUCUAAAAACAUAAAUACCAACAGGAUUCAUGAUCACAAUAUUUGCCACAAAGCUCUCCUGAAAACCCAAUUACGCAAUUAAUAAGAUUUGUUAAGGCAAUUAGCCAUACAGGGGAUAAGAAGCUAGUGUUUUUAAUGAAAUGUCCCACCAUCCAGAGGUAUGUACGUCAAGGGAAAAAGAAAAGAGUCUCAGAAGUAAGGGCUGUAACGCAUCGGCGCCCUAGCCCUUGGAACCUUUCUGCAGCAUAAAUAAAUGAAGCCAUGUCACAAAUUUAAUCAAAUACAGAAAGGGUAGCAAACACAACUUUGUUUAUAAGUAAUGAUAUAAAACAAAU